AACGAACGCUGGCGGCAUGCCUAACACAUGCGAGUCGAACGAGACCUUCGGGUCUAGUGGCGCACGGGUGCGUAACGCGUGGGAACCUGCCCUUAGGUUCGGAAUAACUCCCCGAAAGGGGUGCUAAUACCGGAUAAUGUCUUCGGACCAAAGAUUUAUCGCCUUUGGAUGGGCCCGCGUUGGAUUAGCUAGUUGGUAGGGUAAAAGCCUACCAAGGCGACGAUCCAUAGCUGGUCUGAGAGGAUGAUCAGCCACACUGGGACUGAGACACGGCCCAGACUCCUACGGGAGGCAGUAGUGGGGAAUAUUGGACAAUGGGCGAAAGCCUGAUCCAGCAAUGCCGCGUGAGUGAUGAAGGCCUUAGGGUUGUAAAGCUCUUUUACCCGGGAUGAUAAUGACAGUACCGGGAGAAUAAGCUCCGGCUAACUCCGUG
rnacentral:rRNA from 1 species